rnacentral:rRNA from 1 species
CGCGUAGGCGGUUUGGAUAGUCAGGCGUGAAAUUCCCGGGCUUAACCUGGGGGCUGCGCUUGAUACAUCCAGGCUUGAGUGAGGAAGAGGGUCGUGGAAUUCCCAGUGUAGAGGUGAAAUUCGUAGAUAUUGGGAAGAACACCGGUGGCGAAGGCGGCGACCUGGUCCUUUACUGACGCUGAGGCGCGAAAGCGUGGGGAGCAAACAGGAUUAGAUACCCUGGUAGUCCACGCCGUAAACGAUGUGUGCUGGAUGUUGGGUGACCUAGUCACGCAGUGUCGUAGCUAACGCGGUAAGCACACCGCCUGGGGAGUACGGCCGCAAGGUUGAA